rnacentral:rRNA from 1 species
GGAAUUUGCGCAAUGGGCGAAAGCCUGACGCAGCAACGCCGUGUGAGGGAUGAAGGCUUUCGGGUCGUAAACCUCUGUCGGAAGGGAAGAACGGGCAUUGGUCUAAUAGGCCUUUGUUUUGACGGUACCUUUAGAGGAAGCACCGGCUAACUCCGUGCCAGCAGCCGCGGUAAUACGGAGGGUGCAAGCGUUAUUCGGAAUUACUGGGCGUAAAGCGCACGUAGGCGGCCUUGUAAGUCAGGGGUGAAAUCCCACGGCUCAACCGUGGAACUGCCUUUGAAACUGCAGGGCUUGAAUCCUGGAGAGGGUGGCGGAAUUCCUGGUGUAGGAGUGAAAUCCGUAGAUAUCAGGAGGAACACCGGUGGCGAAGGCGGCCACCUGGACAGGCAUUGACGCUGAGGUGCGAAAGUGUGGGGAGCAAACAGGAUUAGAUACCCUGGUAGUCCACACCGUAAACGAUGGAUACUAGGUGUCGGGGACUUGAUCUUCGGUGCCGUAGCUAACGCGUUAAGUAUCCCGCCUGGGGAGUACGGUCGCAAGGCUGAAACUCAAAGAAAUUGACGGGGGCCCGCACAAGCGGUGGAGUAUGUGGUUUAAUUCGAUGCAACGCGAAGAACCUUACCUAGUCUUGACAUCCUGGGAAUCCUGCAGAGAUGCGGGAGUGCCCUUCGGGGAAUCAGAGACAGGUGCUGCAUGGCUGUCGUCAGCUCGUGCCGUGAGUGUUGGGUUAAGUUCCCGCAACGAGCGCC